rnacentral:rRNA from 1 species
AGUGAACGCUGGCGGUAGGCCUAACACAUGCAAGUCGAACGGCAGCACAGUAAGAGCUUGCUCUUACGGGUGGCGAGUGGCGGACGGGUGAGGAAUACAUCGGAAUCUACUUGUUCGUGGGGGAGAACGUAGGGAAACUGACGCUAAUACCGCAUACGAGCUACGGGUGAAAGCAGGGGAUCUUCGGACCUUGCGCGAUUGAAUGAGCCGAUGUCGGAUUAGCUAGUUGGCGGGGUAAAGGCCCACCAAGGCGACGAUCCGUAGCUGGUCUGAGAGGAUGAUCAGCCACACUGGAACUGAGACACGGUCCAGACUCCUACGGGAGGCAGCAGUGGGGAAUAUUGGACAAUGGGCGCAAGCCUGAUCCAGCCAUACCGCGUGGGUGAAGAAGGCCUUCGGGUUGUAAAGCCCUUUUGUUGGGAAAGAAAAGCAGCAGGUUAAUACCCCGCUGUUCUGACGGUACCCAAAGAAUAAGCACCGGCUAACUUCGUG